AGCUGCCCAGAAAUAUGCCAUGUUCUUCAAAUUUCCGAGCAGUCCCAAAAAUUUGACAGCUUCAUGGCUUUCUUUCAUGGCUUGCAUGUAUCAGAUAAGAAGGUCUGUAGCAGCUUUGCUGGAGGUUUGGUUAAUUGAGCUAAGAGCAUGAACAGCGACAUGCUCAAGAACAGAGUCCUUGGAUGGCCAGAGGGAUCUUGCUUAUAGCUGCUUCAAAGGUUUUGCUUAUUGUCAGAAUUGUGUCAAUCCGGAGGAAGAAAACAUAGAGGCUGC
rnacentral:lncRNA from 1 species